UGGCCUUGCGCCGGCGACGGUUCAUUCAAAUUUCUGCCCUAUCAACUUUCGAUGGUAAGGUAUUGGCUUACCAUGGUUUCAACGGGUAACGGGGAAUUAGGGUUCGAUUCCGGAGAGGGAGCGUGAGAAACGGCUACCACAUCCAAAGAAGGCAGCAGGCGCGCAAAUUACCCAAUCCCGACACGGGGAGGUAGUGACAAUAAAUACUGAUACAGGGCUCUUUUGGGUCUUGUAAUCGGAAUGAGUACAAUUUAAACCCCUUAACGAGGAACAGUUGGAGGGCAAGUCUGGUGCCAGCAGCCGCGGUAAUUCCAGCUCCAAUAGCGUAUAUUAAAGUUGCUGCAGUUAAAAAGCUCGUAGUUGAACCUUGGGCCUGGCUGGCCGGUCCGCCUCACCGCGUGUACUGGUCCGGCCGGGCCUUUCCUUCUGGGGAGCCCCAUGCCCUUCACUGGGUGUGCGGGGGAACCAGGACUUUUACUUUGAAAAAAUUAGAGUGUUCAAAGCAGGCCUUUGCUCGAAUACGUUAGCAUGGAAUAAUAGAAUAGGACGUGCGAUCCUAUUUUGUUGGUUUCUAGGACCGCCGUAAUGAUUAAUAGGGACAGUCGGGGGCAUCAGUAUUCAAUUGUCAGAGGUGAAAUUCUUGGAUUUAUUGAAGACUAACUACUGCGAAAGCAUUUGCCAAGGAUGUUUUCAUUAAUCAGUGAACGAAAGUUAGGGGAUCGAAGACGAUCAGAUACCGUCGUAGUCUUAACCGUAAACUAUGCCGACUAGGGAUCGGGCGAUGUUUUUAUCUUGACUCGCUCGGCACCUUACGAGAAAUCAAAGUUUUUGGGUUCUGGGGGGAGUAUGGUCGCAAGGCUGAAACUUAAAGAAAUUGACGGAAGGGCACCACCAGGCGUGGAGCCUGCGGCUUAAUUUGA
rnacentral:rRNA from 1 species